rnacentral:lncRNA from 1 species
UUAGCACAACAAACCUAAAAUUGGAGAGCAGAGGCAAGUAAGAGUUGUAAAUCAGAAUGAAAUUAGUGCGUGAGAGGUGCGGACAGCGGACGUAUCCCUGAGAGUGGAAUCCAAGGGUAUCAUACGAACAAUAAGAAAGCAUGCAGUGGGCAUUCUUUCGUCAGAUCAGAGAAACAUGCAUGAUAUGAGCCAAUUGUUUUAAUUUACUUUGUUAUCAGUUAAACA